UAAGGAAUAUUGGUCAAUGGACGCAAGUCUGAACCAGCCAUGCCGCGUGGAGGAUGAAGGCCCUCUGGGUUGUAAACUUCUUUUAUCUGGGACGAAACCCUCAUAUUCUUAUGAGACUGACGGUACCAGAUGAAUAAGCACCGGCUAACUCCGUGCCAGCAGCCGCGGUAAUACGGAGGGUGCAAGCGUUAUCCGGAUUCACUGGGUUUAAAGGGUGCGUAGGAGGGCAGGUAAGUCAGUGGUGAAAUCUCCAAGCUUAACUUGGAAACUGCCGUUGAUACUAUCUGUCUUGAAUGUUGUGGAGGUGAGCGGAAUAUGUCAUGUAGCGGUGAAAUGCUUAGAUAUGACAUAGAACACCAAUUGCGAAGGCAGCUCACUACACAAUUAUUGACUCUGAGGCACGAAAGCGUGGGGAUCAAA
rnacentral:rRNA from 1 species